rfam:Lactobacillus amylophilus DSM 20533 = JCM 1125 strain DSM 20533 NODE_16, whole genome shotgun sequence.
ACACAGCUGCAACCGCACAUCAAGGGUUUUAAAGCGUAGCACCCGGUGGUGGCGAGUCUAAGAAUAUAG